AGCGGAGCGUUGUGGUUUAAUUCGUUGCUACACGAAGAACCUUACCUGGGUUUGACAUAUAGGUUGUAGGGAACUGAAAAGGGACCGACCCUUCGGGGAGCCUAUACAGGUGUUGCAUGGCUGUCGUCAGCUCGUGUCGUGAGAUGUUCGGUUAAGUCCGCUAACGAGCGCAACCCUCGUCGUAUGUUAUAUGUGUCAUACGAGACUGCCGGUAAAAGCCGGAGGAAGGUGAGGAUGAUGUCAAGUCAGCAUGACCUUUAUAUCCAGGGCUACACACACGCUACAAUGGUCUGUACAAUGGGUAGCCAAGCCGCGAGGCGGAGCCAAUCCUGAAAGCAGGCCUCAGUUCAGAUUGCAGUCUGCAACUCGACUGCAUGAAGCCGGAGUUGCUAGUAACCGCAGGUCAGCAAUACUGCGGUGAAUACGUUCCCGGGUCUU
rnacentral:rRNA from 1 species